ACUACAUCAAACUGAGCGAGAUGGAGAAGAACCGCAAGUUGAAUGACCUUCUUGACGCAUUGGACUUCAAUCAAGUUGUCAUAUUUGUGAAGAGCGUUAGCAGAGCUGGGGAGCUGAACAAGUUGCUUAUUGAAUGCAAUUUCCCCUCAAUAUGCAUUCACUCUGGCAUGUCUCAGGAAGAGAGGUUUGUAUAUUAUUUCAUCUGAACCGUCUCGACUUGCUCUUAGAGCUUUUCUACAGGAGACCAAUUCUUAACCCUUCACAAUGAUAUGAUAUUUAUGCUGACUCACUACAAAAGUUUUUAAGGAAGGGCACAAGAGGAUCCUUGUGGCGACAGACUUGGUAGGAAGAGGCAUUGCCAUUGAGCGUGUCAACAUUGUUAUCAACUAUGACAUGCCAGAUUCUGCUGAUACAUAUCUUCACAGGGUCGGGAGAGCUGGUAGGUUUGGAACAAAGGGUCUUGCGAUCACAUUUGUGGUAUCAGCUUCAGAUUCUGAAGUUCUUAAUCAGUGAUGGGUUAUGGGAUGUGGUGAGUUCGAAGAAAGCUGUGCAGCUGGUGCUACAGGUAAAACAAUUUUUUCUACUUCAAAUGGAAGCAACAUGGCUGUGCUGCUCUGUCAUAACCUCACGUGUAUGUUUCAGAAAUUUUUUUUUUUAAGAAACUCAAUGAGGUUCUACCAUUGGAGUAAGAAAAAUUUAAUUAGACUAACAUGGGUUCUAAACUUUUCAAAUCACAAAAUUAAUUACUAAAUUA